CAUGCAAGCUUAAACUUUUUAAAGCAUCACGGYGAGUAAACUAUACAAACUUUUACAAAAUUACAAGUAUAUUCAGAAGCAUCAGGACUCCUCUCGGGACCAAAAACGCUUASACACCCACAUCUGCAGUACCCAACAUUAUACCAUAAGCGACAGCUUGAUAUAGAGAUAGAACAGAGAACUGGUUAAUUAUGUGCCAGCCACCGCGGUURUACAUAAAGUUCCAGCCAAGAAACCCCGGUGAAAGUCGUGGUAAACAACACCCCUAACUGGAAUAAAAAUCAACUAAAGCAGUAAUAAGCUAACAGAUCUUUAAUACCCCAGCUAACCCCCAUUUCAGAUUAUGCGACCCCACGAAAGCUCAACCAUAAACUGGGAUUAGAUACCCCACUAUACGAGCCCUAAAAUAACAUUACACCUGAGAACUACGAACGAAAGUUUAAAACUCAAAGGACUUGGCGGUCUUAUAAACCUUCUGGAGGAGCUUGCUAUAUAACCGAUAAUCCACGUAACACCUUACCAACUUUAGAACUUCCAGCCUGUAUACCAUGGUCGUCAGUCUACUCCCCAA
rnacentral:rRNA from 1 species